rnacentral:rRNA from 1 species
CCGGGGUUGCCCACCCUGUAAACGACGAAGACUAGCCGUGGGGCUCCUUGACAUGCUAGUGGGGAAGUAAACGCGUAAAUUCGCCCCCCUGGGGAGUCCGGCCCCAGGGUUAAAAUUCAAAGGAAUGGAGGGGGGCCCGCCCAACCGGUGGAGCAUGUGGUUUAUUUGGAAGCACCGGGAGGACCUUUCCCUGCCCUUGCCAUGCUGAGAACUUUCCAAAGAGGGAUUGGGCCUUUGGGGAAUUCAGACCCAGUUGCUCCAUGGCGGUCUUCAGCUCGUGUCUUGAGAUGUUGGGUUAAGUCCGGUAAGGAGCCCAACCCUUGUCCUUAGUUACCACCACCAAGGGUGUCACUCUAUGAGAUGCC